UCCGUAGGGGGCAAGCGUUGUCCGGAAUUAUUGGGCGUAAAGAGCGUGUAGGCGGUCCGGUAAGUCCGCUGUGAAAGUCGGGGGCUCAACCCUCGAAUGCCGGUGGAUACUGUCGGGCUAGAGUGCGGAAGAGGCGAGUGGAAUUCCUGGUGUAGCGGUGAAAUGCGCAGAUAUCAGGAGGAACACCUAUUGCGAAGGCAGCUCGCUGGGACGUAACUGACGCUGAGACGCGAAAGCGUGGGGAGCAAACAGG
rnacentral:rRNA from 1 species